rnacentral:rRNA from 1 species
GACGAACGCUGGCGGCGUGCCUAAUACAUGCAAGUAGAACGCUGAAGAGAGGAGCUUGCUCUUCUUGGAUGAGUUGCGAACGGGUGAGUAACGCGUAGGUAACCUGCCUUGUAGCGGGGGAUAACUAUUGGAAACGAUAGCUAAUACCGCAUAACAAUGGAUGACACAUGUCAUUUAUUUGAAAGGGGCAAUUGCUCCACUACAAGAUGGACCUGCGUUGUAUUAGCUAGUAGGUGAGGUAACGGCUCACCUAGGCGACGAUACAUAGCCGACCUGAGAGGGUGGUCGGCCAACAUGGGACUGGAACACGGGCCAGAACCCUACGGGAGGGAGCCGGAGGGGAUCUUCGGCCAUGGGGGCAACCCUGACCGAGCAACGCCGCGUGAGUGAAGAAGGUUUUCGGAUCGUAAAGCUCUGUUGUAAGUCAAGAACGAGUGUGAGAGUGGAAAGUUCACACUGUGACGGUAGCUUACCAGAAAGGGACGGCUAACUACGUG